rnacentral:rRNA from 1 species
UACGGCUCAGUAACACGUGGCUAACCUGCCCUUGGGACGGGAACACCCCCGGGAAACUGGGGCUAAUCCCCGAUAGGUGAAGAACACUGGAAUGUGUCUUCGCCCAAAAGGCGUCGGAUCAUGCUUUCGGCGUCGCCCAAGGAUGGGGCCGCGACCGAUCAGGUUGUUGGUGAGGUAACGGCCCACCAAGCCUAUAACCGGUGCGGGCCGUGAGAGCGGGAGCCCGGAGAUGGGCACUGAGACAAGGGCCCAGGUCCUACGGGGCGCAGCAGUCGCGAAACCUUUGCAAUACACGAAAGUGUGACAGGGUCAUCCCGAGUGCCGACCGCUGAGGUUGGCUUUUACCCAGUCUAGAAAGCUGGGGGAAUAAGGAGAGGGCAAGUCUGGUGUCAGCCGCCGCGGUAAUACCAGCUCUCCGAGUGGUGUGGACGUUUAUUGGGCCUAAAGCAUCCGUAGCUGGCUGAUCAAGUCCCUUGUUAAACCCACCGAUUUAAUCGUUGGCUUGCGGGGGAUACUGCUCGGCUAGGGGACGAGAGAGGCAGACGGUAUUCCCGGGGUAGGGGUGAAAUCCUAUAAUCCCGAGAAGACCACCAGUGGCGAAGGCUGUCUGCUAGAACGCGCCCGACGGUGAGGGAUGAAAGCUGGGGGAGCGAACCGGAUUAGAUACCCGGGUAGUCCCAGCUGUAAACGAUGCAGGCUAGGUGUUUGGACGGCCACGCGC